UACAGAGGGUGCAAGCGUUGUUCGGAGUUACUGGGCGUAAAGGGUGCGUAGGCGGUUGUUUAAGUUUGGUGUGAAAUCUCCCGGCUCAACUGGGAGGGUGCGCCGAAUACUGAAUGACUAGAGUGCGGGAGAGGAUAGUGGAAUUCCUGGUGUAGCGGUGAAAUGCGUAGAUAUCAGGAGGAACACCGGUGGCGAAGGCGGGUCUCUGGGCCGUUACUGACGCUGAGGAGCGAAAGCGUGGGGAGCGAACAGG
rnacentral:rRNA from 1 species